rnacentral:lncRNA from 1 species
AUGAAAAUCCAGGAGAACCUAAUUGAACUAGAGUCGCUGACCGAAACUACCAUGCUGACUCACUACCCGCCGCCGCAGUCCGAUUUCGGCUAUCCUCAACAGGGGCUCCCAUCCAUAGACAACGUUGAGGCACAAUCGUGGUUCUCAAACUUCUUGCAGCCUUCGCCCGAAGGAGAUGACUCGAUGCUUAUGCUCCGGUCCGAUGAUCAACAGUCGAUACAUAUUCCAGACUGGCUUUCCGGUCCGGUCUCCGAUAGUGAUCAGAACGUUUCCGAGUCUUCGUUAUUGACUUUGCCAUGCCCAGAGCAGGAGGGAGUUCUAUCCGAGUCGAGAACUUCUCUCCCACCCAUCACAGAAAUCCAGGCGGAAGACCUGCGACUGAUCUCAGCCGUGCUGACGAACGUGAAGGAGGAGCUGAGCGCGGACCUGAGCCUGCUGAGCGACGAGAAGCUGAAGCUACCAGCGUCGAGCGAGGCGGGGCCGGGGGUGGGGGUGGGGAAGAACGGCGGGAAGCUGCCCGGGUUCCACCAGGCGUUCGGCUCGACGGAGAUCGGGCGCUUCUCGCAGCACGAGGAGUACUUCGAGGCUCCGCAGGAGGAGGACUGCCUCGGGCUCCACAACGACCUCAUGUCCAAAGUGAGUCCGGUCCUGUGAGCGCCCCUGCGAGGGGGCGGGGGCGCGGCGCCCGCAACGGCACGCGCCGCACCAAGGCCCAGGAACGCAAGCAGACCAAAGCCGCCGCUAAUAAUCAGCUCAGCCCGCCCCAAGAUCCAGCAGCGCUCCCAGGUAACGAACCGUGCAAGCCGCCAGCCGGCUCAGGCCCGAUUAAGAUGGAGAAGAAGGACUGGGAGAUGAGCGGUCGGGACUGCGACUCGAAGCUAAGCCUCGGGCAAAACCAAAGUCAAAACCAAAGUCCAAGUCAAAGCCAAAGUCAAGCUCGGAGCUUGCACGAAUCCAGCUUCACCGGCACCAACGGCUUCGUGCCGCCCUCGCCGAGUCCGUACUACAACCAAACGCGGCAGGACCGCUUCGCCCACCCCAUGCAUCACAACUCCUACUACAACCCCCACUACUGCCCCCCGCGCUCGAGCCAGAUCCAGGAGCGCUUCGUGCCUGGGAACCCGUACCACUUCCAGGGCGGCGACUCGGGGCUCCAGCCCUACCAGGCCUCGCAGUGCUGGAACCAGUUCAACGUCUACUCCACGCCGUCCAACGCCCACCAGUCCUACUCCGGCAUGAUGUCCUACUCGUCGCCGGCCUGCGACGUUGCGUCGGCCGAGUACAAAAGCUACUACUACAACAAUUACUCCAACUGCACCGAGUUCGAUUAUCAGAACUACGGGAGUUACCACUUCCAGCAGCGGUCACAUCCCUACCGCAGGAUGAGUUACCAGAGUCAGCCGGCGCUCCCGUCCUUCAACAACGAUAGGCUCCAUUACAAUAUUUGA